rnacentral:rRNA from 1 species
UACGUAGGGUGCGAGCGUGUCCGGAAUUAUUGGGCGUAAAGAGCUUGUAGGCGGUCUGUCGCGUCUGCUGUGAAAAUCCGGGGCUCAACCCCGGACUUGCAGUGGGUACGGGCAGACUAGAGUGUGGUAGGGGAGACUGGAAUUCCUGGUGUAGCGGUGAAAUGCGCAGAUAUCAGGAGGAACACCGAUGGCGAAGGCAGGUCUCUGGGCCACUACUGACGCUGAGAAGCGAAAGCAUGGGGAGCGAACAGG